rnacentral:rRNA from 1 species
CCUACGGGAGGCAGCAGUGAGGAAUAUUGGUCAAUGGCCGGAAGGCUGAACCAGCCAUGCCGCGUGAAGGUCAGUGCCCUAUGGGCGUUAAACUUCUUUUGUGCGGGAGCAAUAAUGGUCACGUGUGGCCAGACGAGAGUACCGUACGAAUAAGCAUCGGCUAACUCCGUGCCAGCAGCCGCGGGAAUACGGGGGAGGCAAGCGUUAUCCGGAUUUAUUGGGUUUAAAGGGUGCGUAGGCUGGGAGGUAAGUCAGCGGGGAAAUGCCCCCGCUCAACGGGGUGAAGUGCCAUUGAUACUGGCUGGCUGGAAUGCGGAUGCCGUAGGAGGAAUGUGUGGUGUAGCGGUGAAAUGCAUAGAUAUCACACAGAACACCGAUUGCGAAGGCAUCUCACGAAUCCGCGAUUGACGCUGAUGCACGAAAGCGUGGGUAUCAAACAGGAUUAGAUACCCUGGUAGUC